rnacentral:rRNA from 1 species
UGCAAGUCGAACGGUAACAGGAAGCAGCUUGCUGUUUCGCUGACGAGUGGCGGACGGGUGAGUAAUGUCUGGGAAACUGCCUGAUGGAGGGGGAUAACUACUGGAAACGGUAGCUAAUACCGCAUAACGUCGCAAGACCAAAGAGGGGGACCUUCGGGCCUCUUGCCAUCGGAUGUGCCCAGAUGGGAUUAGCUUGUUGGUGGGGUAACGGCUCACCAAGGCGACGAUCCCUAGCUGGUCUGAGAGGAUGACCAGCCACACUGGAACUGAGACACGGUCCAGACUCCUACGGGAGGCAGCAGUGGGGAAUAUUGCACAAUGGGCGCAAGCCUGAUGCAGCCAUGCCGCGUGUAUGAAGAAGGCCUUCGGGUUGUAAAGUACUUUCAGCGGGGAGGAAGGGAGUAAAGUUAAUACCUUUACUCAUUGACGUUACCCGCAGAAGAAG